rnacentral:ribozyme from 1 species
UGCCAUGCAACUCCAAUCCCUACCUCCAAGUGGCACCGGCCGGUAAACGAGCAACCUCAGGGACGAUCGGGUAACCAAUCCCGAUGGGAACUUUGGUCGUAUGCUAACAUGGAAGG